rnacentral:rRNA from 1 species
GACGAACGCUGGCGGCGUGCUUAACACAUGCAAGUCGAACGAUGAAGCCUAGCUUGCUAGGUGGAUUAGUGGCGAACGGGUGAGUAAUACGUGAGUGACCUACCUUUGACUCUGGGAUAAGCCUGGGAAACUGGGUCUAAUACCGGAUACGACCAAUCUCCGCAUGGGGUGUUGGUGGAAAGCGUUAUGGAGUGGUUUUAGAUGGGCUCACGGCCUAUCAGCUUGUUGGUGAGGUAAUGGCUUACCAAGGCGACGACGGGUAGCCGGCCUGAGAGGGUGACCGGCCACACUGGGACUGAGACACGGCCCAGACUCCUACGGGAGGCAGCAGUGGGGAAUAUUGCACAAUGGGCGCAAGCCUGAUGCAGCGACGCCGCGUGAGGGAUGACGGCCUUCGGGUUGUAAACCUCUGUUAGCAUCGAAGAAGCGAAAGUGACGGUAGGUGCAGAGAAAGCGCCGGCUAACCACGUG